UGGAAAACUAUAGUCAAACGUUAGCUAAAUAGGGAAGUAUCUAAAAAGGAAAAGAAAUAGAACUCAAGCUUCAAAAAAGCAUCCAUGGAGAUGUCUGGAAAGCGUGUCUUAUCCGUAAUGAGGUUGACCAUUCGUGCGCAAGUAUACAUCUUGGCAAAAGCGGAUUUAAGAUUUGGAGGUCGGGGGUGCCACAACGUUCAAGUAAGAUGAAAGGAUCGGUUGCUUUAAUUUUGGAUUAUAACUCGGGUACUUCAGGGCUGGUUGCUACAUCACUCCUUUUCUCCUUAAUUUUGAUCAGUUCUUUCUCCUACACUUGUAAUAGUUGUAUUGUGUUCUCUUGUUUGCAUGAUCUAUCUUGUGGUACAUUCAGAUAGAGUAGCAAACGAGUUGCUGGUCCCAAUAUCCUUUUAUGGGGAUAUAGCCGCAUAUUGAAGAUUUUUAAUAGUUUGUUUAUUCUAGAAA